UACGUAGGGUGCAAGCGUUGUCCGGAAUUAUUGGGUUUAAAGGGUGCGUAGGUGGCUUUAUAAGUCAGUGGUGAAAUACAGCCGCUCAACGGUUGAGGUGCCAUUGAUACUGCAGAGCUUGAAACAAGUGGAGGCUGCCGGAAUGGAUGGUGUAGCGGUGAAAUGCAUAGAUAUCAUCCAGAACACCGAUUGCGAAGGCAGGUGGCUACGUUUGAUUUGACACUGAGGCACGAAAGCAUGGGGAGCAAACAGG
rnacentral:rRNA from 1 species